UGGGGUAUGGCCAAGCGGUAAGGCAUUCGGUUUUGAUCCGACGAUCCCAGGUUCGAUCCCUGGUACCCCAGCCA
rnacentral:tRNA from 1 species